UAAUACGGAGGGUGCAAGCGUUAUCCGGAUUUAUUAGGUUUAAAGGGUUCGCAGGCGGAAUUUUAAGUCAGUGGUGAAAGCCUAUAGCUCAACUAUAGAACUGCCAUUGAUACUGAUAUUCUUGAGUAUAGAUGAAGUGGGCGGAAUAUGUCAUGUAACGGUGAAAUGCAUAGAUAUGACAUGGAACACCAAUUGCGAAGGCAGCUCACUAAACUAUUACUGACGCUCAUGAACGAAAGCAUGGGGAGCGAACAGGAUUAGAUACCCUGGUAGUCCAUGCCGUAAACUAUGAUCACUAGAUGUUGGCGAUAUAUUGUCAGUGUUUUAGAGAAAUCGAUAAGUGAUCCACCUGGGGAGUACGUUCGCAAGAAUG
rnacentral:rRNA from 1 species